rnacentral:ncRNA from 1 species
GGGGAGGGCGGUGAAAAGGGAAACGGGUGUGAUUCCCGUGCUGUCCCGCAACUGUGAAUGGCCGGUUCCGCAACUAUGUCACUGGCGGCGAAAUGCUGCCGGGAAGGCGCCGGAACCGCAAACAGGCCAUGAGCCAGGAGACCUGCCUGCAGAGGA